UACGUAGGGUGCGAGCGUUAAUCGGAAUUACUGGGCGUAAAGCGUGCGCAGGCGGUUGGUUAAGUCUGAUGUGAAAGCCCCGAGCUCAACUUGGGAAUGGCAUUGGAAACUGGCUGGCUAGAGUGUGGCAGAGGGGGGUGGAAUUCCGGGUGUAGUGGUGAAAUGCGUGGAGAUCCGGAGGAACCCCAGAGGCGAAGGCGGCGCCCUGGCCCGACACUGACGCUCAGACACGACAGCAUGGGGAGCGAACGGG
rnacentral:rRNA from 1 species